CUCUGUUCUUCUUUCAAAUCCAAGGCCAGGCCACAGGAACAGGUUCUUCCUUUGUUUGGAAAACUCCUCUAGGACUCCAGAGAGUCAGAGCCUGGACAAGGAGAAAGGGAGCCUCAAGGCUGGGGAGCCUGUCCUCAUAGGAAUGGGUCCUGUGAAGUCACAGAGACAGACAGGAGGCACUGGAUAAUGAAGACGAGUCUUCAAAUCGAUAGUGAUGUGGUCGCCAGCACUGAAAUCCUGUAGUCCUGCCCUUGCUGGAGGAGCUCCAGGGAUGUGGAAACCAGAACUAUUUCACUUUCUUCUUAAUAACCCUGUAAGCGUGAUGAUCACAGCAUCAAGAGACAAUAGGAAGGGGUGAGGACUGUGGCAAACCAGAGACCAUGCGGCCAGGGUGAAGGGGAAGCUGCGACUCAGCUUGUCCGAUUUUUCCAGGGAGGGGGGCAGUACUGGCAGACUUCCUGAUUUUCAAAAAAGAAGCCAGAAUUUCACUUUUUUUUUUGAGAGAGAGAGUGAGACAGAGCGUGAGUGGAGGAGGGACAGAAAGACAGGCAGACAGAGAAUCGGAAGCGGGCUCCAGGCUCUGGGCUGUCAGCACAGAGCUCAACGUGGGGCUUGAACUCACGAGCUGUAAGAUCGUGACCUGAGCCGAAGUUGGACGCUUAACCGACUAAACCACCCAGGCGCCCCCCACCUUCUUUUUAAUGAGGAUUUUCCACGUUUAAAAAAGUUAUCGGUGAGCAUAAAGCCGGGAGCCAGAUCGAGUCACUGCUCCACCAGUUUGCGACCUCUAACACUGGCGCGUGUCCGACCCUUGGCGGACAGAUGGCAUCCCGUUUCCCAACACGGACGCCCUCCUGCUCUGCUGUCCUCUGCCUCCUCCACGCCUCAGCCAGCCUGACCCCUCUGCCCAUAGCACACACUCCCAGCUGCUCCGAAGGCUGCAGGGAGUUCACGCACCACGUCCAGGCCAACGUGACAGAAAUGCCAAGGCCAGAGUCUGCUGGGGAAACACUGGGGGGUGAGCAGGAGGUGGGAGAGGGCAGCUGAGCGCUCUGAGGAGCUUCCAAAAUGCCAAUUUCUUAGGAACGGGGAAAGAAGGAAGGUGGCAUAGCAACAGCUGGCUCUGGGCAGUGAGCAAUCCUGUAUGAAAAUAAAACAUUUUACAAUCCACAACCGUGGCUCAUUAAGAAUGAAUGGAUCUACUGGUAUAAAUAGCACGCUGCGUUAAGAAGUCAGGAAACAGCAUAUGCGUUUGAUGGAAAAACGGCUGCCACGGAACUGCUUAUUAGCUCCGUCGGCUGCAGCUCCGCACUAACGAGACAGAGGUCUCUGGUUCAACGCUUUGGAGGGUCAUGUGGAUUUCUUGACCUUGGGCCGUAGAAUGCAUCCCCAUCUCCCCAGCCCCAGUCACAAUAUGGGGGCAGAUUCUGCACACACAGUAACGAGCCCCUAGUGAGUUUCCCCCAGUUUCUGAAGCACAGUAUCCUCUAUAAUAUAAAGUAUCCAAUAUGCUCUACUAUAAUA